UGAAGAAUGAAUAAGAAGAGUAAGACAAGAAAACUCAGUUUGGAUAAGCUAAUUUUAUUUGCACUUCCAAAUAAAAGUUUCUUCCUGAAGUCAUCCUACAUCACAGUUAAAAACAAAAAGAGAACAAUAACCAAACCAAAAAAGUGAUGUCAGGCAGAUAAGGAUGACAACUCAUACUGCCUGCCUUCUUCAGUCUUCACAAUUAACAUAUGCAAAUGGCUCUAAGCGUGGAAAUCCUGCUGCAGAAAUCCUUCUGCAGAAAUCCGCUUCUGCCAGAAGUCCUGCAAUGGAGAGAUUGCAACAUGGAUAAGCAAAUCUUUGGAAGCCAGGCAUGUAUCCCACUUCAUCUUGUACCACUUGCCUCCUUUUUCAGAACCUGUAACUGGGCAUUUUAAAGGGGCUAAACAUGACUGCUGGCACCAAAAUUUGACUUUAUUUAACGGCAUUUGAGACUCUUGGAGGAGAAGAACAUUUAAAUUCUCACAGCUGUGUGAAUUUAGAAUUACUAAACAAUUUCCAUUCUC